AAAAAAUCUCCUCUUUUACGUUUCGGGAGAGAAAACAAGUAACUCAACUCUCGCAACACAUCCCAACGCUCCUCAUUCAUUGAUCAAAGAUGCACAAAGGUUUGUUGCGCCAUACCCAGGGAAAAUCUCUGUGGCGUUCCGCAAGAGGCCACUUGGAUAUUAAAAAUGACCCCAAGCUUCAGGACAAGUCUGCACCUGUGAGGGAAGACGAUGCUCUGACUGUCAUCUAUCAGAGAGGAGGCGAUGCCUCCAACAUGAAGGAAGUGCAGGGAGAGUACAUCCUGCAGUUUGGAAAAUAUAAAGGGAAAUCUUUCCGGUGGCUUCUGGAGAAUGAUGUCGGGUACACCAUGUACCUGAUCAAAGAUCUCAGGAAAGAAGUGGAUGCAGGGACCUCUGUGGAAGAAGGGCAUGGCAAGGAGAGCUUGCAUUCAUUUGUACAGUAUACCCUCAGCUUUGCAGAGAUAAAAGCUCUUCUGGACUAUGAGGCCAGCAGAGUGAGUGUUGCUGCAGAAGCCUCUGAGGAUGAUCAGCUGGUUGGCUUUGGCUCACGAGCCAAGAGCACCUGGAAGGAGAUUUGGGACGGCAGAGGUGACGGCUAUGCAGACCUUAUCAUGAGGAAGAGCUGCAGUCAAGGAACACGGCUGCAUAAGCUGCAGCAGUCUGCGCCUGCUUCCACAAAUGCUCCAACUAAACCCCUGGGGAUGGAUGAGGAUAAAGACCUGGAGGACGCAAUGCUGAGCAUGUCACCUGUAAAACUACACGUGCAGAGCUUCACUGUGCCAGCAGCAGCAGGGUCCACACCCAGAGGAGCUUCAGGAGCAAACACAGGUUUUCAAAUGAAAGGUUUCAGAACUGGAGUACAAUUGUUUUACAUAAUAAUAAUGGAUUGGAUUUAUAUAGCGCUUUUCAAGGCACCCAAAGCACUUUACAAUGCCACUAUUCACUCACUCUCAACACUGGUGGAGGCAGCUACAGGUGUAGCCACAGCUGCCCUGGGGCAGACUGACAGAAGCGAGGCUGCCAUAUCACGCCAUCGGCCCCUCUGGCCAACACCAGUAGGCGGUAGGGUAAAGUGUCUUGCCCAAAGACACAACGACCAGGACAGAGAGCCUGGGGAUCGAACCGGCAACCUUCCGGUUACAGAUACGCUUCCCAACCCCCUGAGCCAUGGUCACCCAUAAUUGCUCUCCAAAGCUGAGCCUGAACUUUUAUAUAUUGUCUUGUUCUUGUUUUGUGUGUUCUGGCCACGUUCUGGCGAUGUUCCGCUAAUAGUAUAGUUGUAUGCUGGUGUUAAUAGGAAAAUUGUACUUAGUAGUCAGUAUAAUCUUUUAAUGAUAUAAGUUUGCAUAUGGUAGAAUGCUGCAUGUAAUUAUUUGUGUGUAGAAGUAUAUAGUUGGUGGCAUAUUGAAAGAAUGUCUCAUCCUAGGAGGUCUGUAACAUUCUAGGGUGUUCACCCCCACAUCCUAGGAUCAUGGGAGAGGUCGUACCUUGUCUUAUUGUUUUACGGUAGGAUUAACGUAGCUAUGUCAGCUUUAGUCUAAGUGCUUUUUGGUUUGAUGAACUGCUGGACUUCGAGACCAGCAGGUUUAGGGAAGUUGUUUAUGGGGCCACACUCUGACCACACACACACACACACACACACACACACACACACACACACACACACACACACACACACACACCUCCACAUUCCAAUGUAAGGAACAAACGCUCACUGAAGUAUAAAUAAAGACCGGGGCAGUUUCUCAGCGCGAGUCUCUCAGUCUGGAGGCUGCCCUUGCUAGCAAGAAGUUCUGUGUGUUUCUCUUCUCUGAGUCUUUACUGAAGAAGUGUUUUAGAAUAUAUUUCUUAACAGCUGGCAUUAUGCUAACUGUCCUGAGGACUCAACCACAAAGGGUGAGUAUGUGUUCUUGUUCUCUAUGAAUGUGUUAAAAACAAGUAGCAGUAGUUACUAACACCUGAAUGCAUGUUGUUCACUGACUUAUACCGCUCCUCCUGCUUCGAUGAGAAGAGGUUAAAAUGAUUUGGUUUGGCAUCUCGGUUGCAUAUAAAUAAAUUACAUUUGUUCUGCAAUGAGAAACAGGAGAAGUAAGAGUAUGGAUGUGUGAGUUCCUACUAACAGCAACACUCACAUACAGUGUAAAUUAUGAAGCUGCUGACACGUUUUCUUGUUGUAGUUCCAUCUGCUGCACUGUCCAUACCACCGUCCAGUACAACUGCAGAACCUCAGGCAUCAUCAGCCGAUGGUGCAGCCUCAAGUGUGAAGAGGAAGUCACCUGCGCCCCUCCCACAGGAGCUGGCAUUUCUACUUAAGGAGACCACAGGACCGAGUACAGAUGCUGCUUCCACAUCUGUGUGCAAAGUGCUGACUUUUGAAGACAGCAGUGAAGAUGAUCCUUCAGCUCAGCCAGCUGUUCCAGUUCCAGUGGCUGGUUAUGAGUAUGACCUCAGCAGCUGGAAUUGUUCUACUCACCAGCAGCUGUGGAUGAAGACUGAGCUUCAGGACCUUGGACUGUGGCCUGGGUCUCGACCAGUGCGUCACGCAGGGAACGCGACUUCACUCUGGCGUCUCCCUCCACAGCCUGAGCUCAUAGAUACAGUGGCUGACCUACCAUCGCCAAAUUUCUUCCAGCUCCACCCCUUCUUCAGCCUUCUUCUCCAACCUGAGAGUGUUAGUGCUAUCAUGGUCAGGUUAAGAAACAAUUAUAUCUUGCCAUGUCUCCAUGAUUGCUUUGGUUCACAAGUGGUCUCUGCUGGUGUGGGCAGGCCACGAGUAAUUGUUGGCACCAGUGGUCAGUAUUACAUCCUGUCCUCACGACUCUGCUGCAGGGCUUGUCGCAGGAACUGGUUUGCUGACAAUCCACGAUGGCUGGAGAAACUGCCCAAAAGGUUUACCAACCUUCUCCCUGCUUUUCUUACAUAUAAAAAGGCCAUCUGCAAGUCUGUUAUGGAUAAGCUCAGGAGGACUGGGAAAUCUCCAGCAGAUAUUGCAAAACAAUUAAAUGAACUCAUGCACCUCAAGUACGAGCGAGCUCACCUGGCGUACCUCCAUGCCACAGAAUCGGUCUGGGAUUCUGAGGCAGGAGCCCAUGGACAGAGGACCAUUGGGAAGUUCCUGAGGAAGGAAAAUAAGCCACAGGAGUUCAGGUCUUAUGAAGACCCACAUGCCUGGUGUGGUGUUUCUGUGUCCAGCCAUUACCUGACUGACUGCCUGCUCGACGAAUUCCGACGUCAACAUCCAGUCAUAUCCAAACUCCUCCAGGCCACAUCUUCAGGUCUGACCACACCAGGAAGGUGGCACGAAAAGUCACGCUGGCAUCUGGGGUCAUGUCCAGUUAUUACAUAAUGAAUGAAAACUGGCUGAGUGUUUCGUGGGUCAUGGUUCAGUCUGAGACAGAAAGGUCUCAGACUGAACCAUGUACCAGGGAAUGGCCAAAAGGUACAGUGAUGCAGGAGUGGAAAAGGCCGGCUACCACUGGUACCAGUGGACCCGUUCCACUGCCUGAGGCGAGUGGAGUGAACCUCUGAGCAUCAUCCUCUGUUCAGCACUUUCUGCCAGCUUCUCUCUGCUGCAUUCUCAGUGGUUGAUCAGGCGGACCUGAAGAGGCUCCAGGAUGCUUAUAAGUUUUGUGGCAUCCAUCCUGCUAAUCCCACAAAGCAACACAUAUGGGAGCACUGCAGGAUCCAAAUACCACAACCCACUGAGCUGCUGAACAGAGCGGAAAAGAUCCUGAAUCAUUUUCACCUGGCCACAGACCCCAACAAUGUCCCACUCUUCAAGCCAUCCAUGCUGAAGACGUGGUGCAUUCAGAGAGUCCACAUUCUGCGUGGCUGCCUCAGUGACCCUGAACUCUCAGAGGGUGUAAUGUUUAGGUACGGUGGGACUCUUCAGCUUAACCAUGUCCCUGGUGAAGGUGCCAAGGUCCCCAUCUGGAUUCCUGUCCGAGGCACUUCACAGCAGGAGGGUUAUCAUUUCCACCAGGCCCAGUGGAUUACCGGGACUCAUGUAUCCAAUGAACUAUUCCAAGUCCAGGGCAUGACAGGGGUGGCACGAUGGAACUACCAAAGACUGGUGGACCUUAAGCAUCCAGGUGUCAUUCUCCCUUCUGUUUUUGAUCCAGCUCUAGUGGUGGAGUUGAAUGCAGCCUCCAGAAGAGUGACUGAUCAGGAGAAGUACCCUGCACUUCACCUCUCUGACAGAGACACUGGAGAGCGAUUUGGGCUUGAACACAGAGAGCCAGGCUGCCGUCCAGUCCCUCUGAACUGGGACAAACACAAAACCCUGAGAAAAGAUGAACCGGCUGCCCUUCAGCCCCCAUCCUCUGUUCCAAAACCUGUGGCUGCCCAACUUCAGGUUCCAGCAGCAGGACCCUCCUCCAGCCUGGCACCGCUAGGUGUGGCAUCCCCCACACCAGCACCACCUGUCACCCACCCUUUCUCUGGUGCACUUUUAAAGCAGGAGUUAGCAUCAGAAGACACCCAGCAACCUACAACAGUCAUGGAAAUCUCUGAAGCUCUACCUCUGCCGAUGCGGGCCUCACCAAGGAGUGCUCGCACUGGACCUAUAAAGACAGGUGGACGGGUUUUUGUGCUGGACCACACAUGCUGGACACGACCCAUGAAAGAGGCAAUAGAUGAUCUGUUGCAAAAGUACCAUGGGAAGAAGGACAUCCUGAAGCUUGUGGAUCAAGAUUAUGCAGACAUGGUCCAUCACUCGGCUACAGAUCCCAACAGCCUGCUGCGUCCCACAUCCAAGGUGCACAUAUCCUGGUAGUUGAAGCACUUGGCUAAGCUUCUCAACACCAGUUCAUCUUUGAACAUAAGCCCAGAAAAACUACUGGAGACUCAGCAGCUGUGGCACUCUUUAACUGAAGGCAGUGAAACAACUAGUGUCCCUGUAAUCACCAUAGAGCCUGCCGCGUUUAACCCACCUCCUCCUGCCCCGUCUACACCACUGACACAAGUCUCAACAGAGAAGAUUGUGGACGGCAUCUUAGAAAGGCAACAGCAGCAGCAGCCACAGCAGCAGCCUGAGGGGAAAAAGGGCAGACAAAGACUUGUCUUGCCUGUGGACAGCCCAAGUCUCAAUGUGAGACAGAUGGAUCCACCGUCGAUUAUUUUUACCAGAGAGGGCCUGUGCGCUAUUUCUACAGUUCCCACAAGGUGCAUCAAACUUAUGCUGCUGAGGGAAUCACUAACCCUAAAAUGACCUUUGAGGAAUUUGCCCAGACAGACUUUUUCCAAAGGGAACUGGAUGCUACCAGGAAGAGGUCAGAGGAAAGGAUGGAGAAAAAGAGGAAAAGGCCAGAAACCCAACAAACAGGCCGCCUCUGCAGGUUCUGCCACAUGGACCUGAAACAGGGCCCAAAUAGCUCACAUGUUCACACAGGCUUCCCUGGAGUGGCAGGGAAAUAUAUCUACUGCCCUUCAAAAGUGCACUCUCUGCCCGGGCACAAGGGCUUGGCCAAGGGGAUGACCUGGAAGGAGUUUCAGGAGUCUCCUUUUUAUGAGGCAGAGAGACAAAGAUGGGUGGAAGAAAAGAGGAAAUAGGGGAGAAACUGUUGAUAUUGUACAUAAUAUAGUUUUGUUCUAGUUUUGUAAUGUUUAUUUUGUUUAUAUAAAUAAAAACUGAUUGUAAAUAUAAAAAUGUGAAUAAAUUGUGUUCUUUAAAAAUAGCAGCACAGCUCUCUUCUUUAUAACCUCUUAGAGUUCACCUGUAUGUUUAUAUACCUGUGUGUGCUCACCAUCAGGUAAUCAGUUUUAAGAAGCUGUGAGUGCUGCCCUGAAAGCUUACAUAUUAUUUCUAAAUCACUUCAUGUAAUGAUAACAAGCCAUCCUUUCUCUAGUGGGGUCUCACAGCUUUUAUCUUUAUAAUCUUUCUGGUUGAUUUAUAUCAUUAGAAACAUGACUGCUGUCUUGUAUCUGUGUGACUGUACAACCUAUUUCAGACAUGACAACCAGACAGUGUCUGAAGUUAUCUUUAAUGCAUGAAACACAGCUGGAGAUAGUCCAGACACUUUCUCACUGAUAUUUUUGGUUUAGGUAUUGUUGCUUUCUGGCU
ensembl:lncRNA